rnacentral:rRNA from 1 species
UACGUAGGGUGCGAGCGUUGUCCGGAAUUAUUGGGCGUAAAGAGCUCGUAGGCGGCUUGUCGCGUCGGAUGUGAAAGCCCGGGGCUUAACUCCGGGUCUGCAUUCGAUACGGGCAGGCUAGAGUUCGGUAGGGGAGAUCGGAAUUCCUGGUGUAGCGGUGAAAUGCGCAGAUAUCAGGAGGAACACCGGUGGCGAAGGCGGUGCUCUGGGCCGAAACUGACGCUGAGGAGCGAAAGCGUGGGUAGCAAACAGG